ACGAACGCUGGCGGCGUGCUUAACACAUGCAAGUCGAACGGAAAGGCCCUGCUUGUGUGGGGUGCUCGAGUGGCGAACGGGUGAGUAACACGUGAGUAACCUGCCCUUGACUUUGGGAUAACUUCAGGAAACUGGGGCUAAUACCGGAUAGGAGCUCCUGCUGCAUGGUGGGGGUUGGAAAGUUUCGGCGGGUGGGGAUGGACUCGCGGCUUAUCAGCUUGUUGGUGGGGUAGUGGCUUACCAAGGCUUUGACGGGUAGCCGGCCUGAGAGGGUGACCGGCCACAUUGGGACUGAGAUACGGCCCAGACUCCUACGGGAGGCAGCUGUGGGGAAUAUUGCACAAUGGGCGGAAGCCUGAUGCAGCAACGCCGCGUGCGGGAUGACGGCCUUCGGGUUGUAAACCUCUUUCGCCUGUGACGAAGCGUGAGUGACGGUAAUGGGUGAAGAAGCACCGGCUAACUACGUG
rnacentral:rRNA from 1 species